rnacentral:lncRNA from 1 species
UUUUUAUAUGCUCAAAAUGGCCCUAUGAAAAUAUGACUCAUUACUUCCUUUUUUAAAAAAAGUGGAGCUGUUAUACAGCCAUACUAAUGAAAGGUAACAGAACCAUGAUUGGAACUGUAUCAACAUGUCAAUUCGUAUGGACAACCAAGAAAAGGUUUGAAAGUCUUGUUAUUAGUCAUGUAACAAUAUAACUUAGAACCAUCCCGAUCUUUCUAAAAGCAAUUACAUGCAACACACCACUCAUUUUCAUAAUUAUGCCAUGUCAAUUCUUCACGAAACCGUUUCAAGCAAUAGCUAACCAAAUAUAUGUUUGCAUAUGGAACAAACUAAUGUUAAAUGUCAGACAUAUACUUCAUGAUAAAGAGAGAAAAAUGGUCCAAUGAUAGUAUCAGACUAUCGCAUACCAACUUGAUAGCCACCUCCUCGCCACAAUGUACUUUGACGCCUACAACCAAAAAGAAACAUGAUCGCAUCACGACAUCAGCAACAAACACGAAACGACGGGCAAUACAAAACAGCAGUGCAUAGGAACCCGCAGACACGCGUGAGAGAUUCACUCAAGAGCCCGGCAAGACGCUUACCAAGAUAGAGCUCCCGAUUGGGCGUGGUCGACGGUUGCCUGGUCGUGCUCUAAAAUCAAAGAUUCGGAGAGUAUGGUUAACUCAACAAUACUACUAUAGCAUAGUACUACAGUGAAGGCGGUGAACAAAAAAGUCCACAGAUACCUCUGGGCUCGGGAACUGAAUCCUGAUUAACUAAUUUGUGUUAUAGCCAUAAUAAAUCCAGACUGCAGAGGCAUUGAGGACUUGUUUAGGUUCACAAUUUCUGGGAAGUUUGCUUGAGCUUUUUCCUCUAAAAGGACUACCAUAAUUUGGGCUAUAGGUGAUUAACACUGGCAUAG